CCGCGCCUGUCCAUAAUCAGCAGAGAGAUGUUACGUCACGGUGUCGUCACUCAGGUCGUUAAAUUGAGGAAGAUUGAGAGAAAAACAACGAGAGAAACAUAAUAAUACAACAAAUAGCUGCAGCUGCGAUGGAGGGUUCCCAGUCGGUUCUCACCCACAGACUCUGGUUCAAAUUGACGGGGCCCUGUCUGCUCCGAGGCAACAAUGACGGUUAAUGACGUAGUCCUGUGUGAAAUGAACAUCGCUGGACUCAAAAGUCACAGUCCACAAGAGCGGAGAAGCAAAAGGACGGAUAAUUCCCAACUCCAGACUGAUCCGAAACCUUAAAAAGAAGACACAGAGGAGGCGUUAAAAACAUCUCAUCUCAUUCAAGAAGAUCACAGAAUGACCAAAAAAUAUAAUCAUUGUUUUAUCAUUAAUGUCCUGAUAAGAUGUACAGUUUCUGCAGUAUGUGGAGCAACAGAAUAUACAUGUGUAUGCAUUUUUAAUACGGUAUUCAAAUGAUGUUGGUGAACCAGUUGGCUCAAUUCCCCAGCUGCUCUACUGUGUUCAACUUUACUGCAUUUACAGUACACUCUCGAACUGGAGACAACUAUAGAAGAUAUUGAUCCCAGGAGACCAUCUUGGUUAAAUAAGGCUCAAACGUACUGCAUCCACACAUGCAAUUAAUAACCUAACACACGUGUCCUGCAUGACACACACAUCCCAUAUUACUUGUGAAUAAUUAGCCAAUUCCUGUUCUUACUUAAAAGCUCCUAAAGAUGUUAAAUAUGUGGAGGGAUUGCAGCCGGAUUUUGAGUAACCGAUCAUGUGCACAGACUCAAAACAUUUGUAGGACUCUGAGCUAAGUCAUGCAUAAUUUAACACAAAGCUGUGUGUUACUGUUUACUGUAUCGCCUACGGAGUGGCCUUUACUGUAAGCUCCCAUUCACUGCUCGUAGAUUACACGCUAAUAACAGAAGGAACAAACUCAACACACAGAGAUAAAAUAUGUCCCACCCCUAACCCCCUAAAAACACCAAACUCCAAAACAACCAUGCCAGUCUAGACACAAGCUGCUCUUCCAAUCACCAACAUCCCACCUCCUCUCCUUCUCCAUCUCCUCUCCUCCUUCUCUUCCUCCUCUCCUCUCCCUCCUCCUCCUCCUCACCCCCACUAUCAUUGUCUGAGCCACCAAAGUGUUUUUUCCCACGCUUUAUUUUUCUCCGUCCUGUUUGCAGCCAGGCAGGAGGAGGAGAAGGAGGUGGGGGUGGAGGGGAUAGGGAGUGAGGGGGGAGUGGGGGGUACGAACUGAUGAGGUCGCCAUGGCAACCCCACAUUGGCAUGCCCCUGAUUGGACUAUGUGGUGGCUAAUUAUUCAGCGCAUAUGCUUAAAAAAAACAAUAAAGUAGGACGUAUUGAAAUGCAGAGCCGAGCAUCGCAUGGUGUGUGUGAUUAACAUAUGAGCCCCGCGCCGCUUUUGAUGAAAGACGCCUCAGUUUCAUCGCUCCGCUUACAACUUAAAUGUUUAAUUUUAUGUGCAUGUUAAAUACAUAAGGAUAUAUCUUUAACAUUUCAACUGUAAUCUUUUUUUUUUUUUUUCAUAUAUUUAUUUUUUGUUUGCGAAAUGUUAACUUUUUGUCAUGAACUUUGUUUUUUGUUUACUACUUAAACUAAUUAUAUUUAUCUCUUAACAGGAAGAUUAAUAAUUCACAUAUAUACGCCAAUUUACAUGAGAGGAUCAACGCAAAACUUUACAUUGAAAAGCUAGAACAAAAAAAACAAGAGCAGCAUGCUAAUGGCAGGCCUCUGAGCACUGGCAUGACAGACAAAUCAUGUGUGUGUUUGCAUGUGUGUGUGUGUGUGUGUGUGUGUGUGUGUGUUAGAGGCAGUGGGGAUGGAGGGUCUGCUGUGUGAAAGAACCCGUGGGGUAGGGGUUUGUAUAUGUGUGUGUUUGAGGAGGGAAUUGGGGGGGUUACGUUAACAAUGGCCGGCAUUGUUUACCAAUCUCCCUCGUCCAUUAAUCAGGACGAUCCGGCUCUAAUUGGCGUUUUGGUUAAGCUGGUCUCCAGACCCCCGUUCCCUCCACUGGCCUAAAUAAUGGCGUUACGCCACAAGUGCCGCCACACAUUGGGGAGGACAAUGUGCCGCUUGUCUGAGGGUCCAGGAUAGGAUCCCCACCCUCUCCUCUUCCCCUCCUUUCUUAGCGCCCCAUGCACCCCCCCAAGAUAAACCUCACACAGAAACACAAAGAAGGCCUCUCACUAUUGAGAUCUCACUGUCGCAGCCUCCCUCUCCUCGUCUGUCUGCCCCCCCCUCUCUCUCUCCUCCUUCCAGUCAUUCACUUACUACACUUUUUCCUCCCUGAACUCAUCGGUCCCUUGCUUCUAGCGGUCGUGGUAAGAGUCGCAGGCUCAAUGGUGUAGGUCAUAAAACCACAUUGAAGAAGGCGAUCCUCACUUCCUAUUCCCUGCUUAAAGGUUUACUAAAUCUUAACUCAAAAUUAGGGGAAUUUAAAUGUUUUCACACUUUUUGAUAAUAUUGUAUGCUUCUCUAAAAGUUACGACAUUUCUCAGACUUGUAAAACCAUUUUGAAACCUAAAUAAUAUGCACAUGAAGCUCAAAGUAAGGCCAAAAGAGUUGGCAUGAUGGGUUUUCAUCCCAAGAGCAGCAAAACGAGAAGUAACUGUAUAUUAAUUUAGGUUAUUAAUUUAGAGUCAUUUCCAAUUAAAUCCCAAAAAGACAUUUAUUUGAUCUCUCCUUAUCUGAUCCCUUUUAAACCCAAAUGCAUGAUCAUAAAGCUAAAAAUGAGGCCAGAAACUUUGACCUGUUGGAGACGUAAGGUUUUCAUUCAACAGCAACGAAAUGGGGUGAAGUGAUGGUAUAUAUAUUUUAGAUAAUUUAAAUGUUAUUUCCAGUAAAAUCUCUAAAUUCCUCUGGUUCAGAAACGAGUGACAGUUGAUGACCCUGUGUGAAAUAAUCCAUACGGCAACAAAUAUUCUUCUACAAGCCAAAUAGGAAGUGUAGUGCCACGUGAGAGAGAACUAAGUGUGAUAACAAGCGGAGAUUUAUGAAGACCACCAUGUUGCUAAUUACGGCUCCUUGUGGGUGUCAGGGAGCAUGUAGGUGUUUUCUUUCUCUUCCACAUCAUCAAACAAAGCCGUCUGUACGCGCCUGCAGCGUAAAUACCGUGUGAAUGCUCCACAUGCAGAAAUAGAAAUUAUAACUCUUUGUAAUCAAACGAAUGAUCUAAUUAACGUCCCAGAAGCCGAGACGUCGAAAGAGUUUUCAGGGCGCCUUGUGGAAAAUCCACAAAAUGGUCGAUCGUCGGAGUCUGCAGCGUGACGGCGGGCACGAUGAAAGCGACGCAGGGAACCGCAGCUGCCCUUAAAAAUGCCAGCUUGCCGACACUCAAAAGCCACCGGCUCUACGGCUUCCUCCUAUCUCAUCCCCUUCCCGCACGUCUCUUGGGGCGAUCUCUACAAUUAACACACUGGCAGUAAUUAACACUGUCUUGAGGCAACCAAUGGCGCGGAAAGGAUCGGGGCCAACGUGAAGUGGGGGAAGGUGCAGCGCUGGCUAUCCACGUUCCCCCCUUUUUAUUCAGCUGCCAUUUUGUGCCAGUCUUAACACCUAAGAUGGUGGCAGGACUGUGACUUGCCGUGUGGGAGAGGAGGACAAACUGGCAAGGGAGGGGUCGGAGAAGAGGAGGAUUAUGGGAUUGAGGAGGGAGUCUCUUAUUUUCAUUCUUCUAGUCGGUACAUUGCUGAACGGUUACCAAGACAGGCGAGAGAGGGAGGCGGAGAGACAGAAAGAGGCAUGAUCGUCACAUUGGUGCCCUACAUGCACACAUAGAGGAGGAAUUCUCCCACACAUGGACACACAAACACACACACACACACACACACACACACACACACACACGUCAGAGAGGAAGAACAAAGUAUUUAUACAGUGUGGGCGCGAAACAAACAACACCCUGUGAUGGUCUGUUUGUGUAAAAAAAACGUGUAAUUUACAUGUGCUUAAUAUACGCCGCACACAUACGAACACACAUGUGCCCAUGCAUGAACACACACACACACACACACACACACACACACACACACACACGCAAACAACCAACACAGCCGUUCUCAUGGUAUGGUCUGCCCCUGAGCAUGCAAAUGACAUUCAUUAUGCAAAUGCAUACAAAUCAGAACCAACCAUCUGAGAAUCCAAGCUGGGAAAAAAACGAAAAGAAUAAAAUUAAAUGAAUGAGGGGGUGUGGGGGGGGGGGGGACCCGUAGAAAAGAAAGAAGAAGUACGUUGGGACGAGUGCGUGGGGAAAGUACAGUGUCAAAAAGCACAUGUGAACACAUGUGGUCAACAGGAAAAUAGCUUAUAACCUAUUUUUUAUCCAAAUAAUAAGGUUUAAAGAUCAUAAAAAGCUGGAUAAAUCUCUAAUUAAGCUGCAGCCAUUAACGUAUGAAAAAGAUUAAUGAUUGGGAAGCAAGAUUCUGAAAUUUUAAGAUCAAUUUAGGAUAUAAAAAAAUCUUACAGCCCUAUUUUCACUGAUGAAAUGAUGGUUACACUUUGUGUUAUACGCCACUACAGUGUUGAUGGAGCUUAAGAGGUUUGAGAGGAGAUUUUAAAAAGAUUUUUAGUUCCUAGAUAGUAUAUAUGUUCGACAAAGUUACAUUUAACAUGGGAGAUGAGAUGACCAAUCUUCCUCGCUGCCUUGUUGCGCCCCACUGAUGUCAUACUGUUGACUUGUUUGAGACAAAGCCCAUUGAGCAGGAAAAAGCAGCAAAUCAACUGCAGAAGAGCAUCAACUGGAGAGGAGAUGCUCCAAAUGAUGGCAAAGUGCCGCUAAUUGCCUCUCGAGGUGUCCUUUGUUUAGUUUCACCUCUCUCACCAGCACUGCUUCUGUAGGAAGUGCUCUCUAAAACCACAGAGGAGCAGCAUGCACGUUAUCUCCCUUUUUAUGAAUCAUCCCGAACCCUGAAACUCACCAAAAAUAGAGGAGGAUGGUCAUGUAAAACGAAGCUGCUGAGGCUACAGCAUGUCUCAACCAUGUGUAGUUCUUGUUCAUCUUACAAGAACAACAACAAACAGUUUUCCCUUCUAAGAAAGAGAUUCAGGCAAGAAAACUGUGCUAAAAGCAUAUUUUAGCCAAUUAACUGGCAUCGAUAAAAUAAAGGCUAAUUAAAAAACAGAUUGAGGCCAAAUUCUUCCCCAAACAAAGUGCAAUUAGACAAAGAAAUUCCUGAGUGUGCGGUAUGUGUUUGUGUGUAUGUAUGGUUGUGCAUUAAGCGUGUGUGAGACGGAGAGAGGGAGGACGGCAGAAAAAAAGAGGCCUAUAUGAGAAAAGGAAAGGUUAAGGAUUUUCUAGGAUCUUAAAAUCAAAUGUUUUUU